GUUCUCAAAGCUCGUGACUUGAAAAAUCAAAAAAUAUUGCGUGAUCCGUCCAUGCAAUUUCAAUUUAGAGGUCCUCGCCAUCGCUUCCACCAUCAUUCCACCCGGUCGUGUUUUAUUUCUAUUUAAAUAAUCUUAAUAAAGUUCUGUUACUGUUAUCGUGGUAAGUUCCAACUCUUGUAAAAAAAAAAAUGUUACGUUGCAUAGCUGCACGUGGUUUUACAUCCACCGCCCCUAUUAUUUCUACUUCUUGUAAAAUGGUCAAAUAUUUCAGUAACGACAGAUCUCCCAGUAAGAAAUUCAACAUGCAGAGACCUGCUGGAAUUCAAAAGCGAUCAUUCGGUAAUCGUCCUGGUGGCGGUCGUGAUGGCCGUAGUAAUUAUGGCAGUAGUGAUUAUAGCGGUUUUGCUAAGAAAACGAAGUACGCGCUGACAGCCGAGGACCUCGAGAUACCAGAUUGGGAUACAGUUUCUCUGAAACCAUUCAAGAAAGAUUUUUAUGUUCCUCACGAGAAUGUCGAACGAAGGUCUGACGAAGAAGUACGCGAAUACCGUAAACAACAUAAUAUAACCGUUUCGUGUCAGGCUGGAUUUGAAAUUCCUAAACCUAUUCAACAUUUCACUGAAGCCAAUUUUCCAGAUUACGUAAACGAUAUUUUACGGCGUGAAGGGUUCCAAACACCCACAGUUAUUCAAGCUCAAGGAUGGCCCAUUGCUAUGAGUGGUCAUAAUAUGGUAGGAGUUGCUCAAACCGGCUCUGGAAAAACAUUAGCUUAUAUGUUACCAGCUAUCGUUCAUCUUAAUAAUCAACCCCGUCUUCAGCGUGGAGAUGGUCCUAUCGUUCUUGUAUUAGCUCCAACUAGAGAAUUAGCUCAACAAAUCCAAGUAGUUGCUUCACAGUACGGUACUUCAACCCAUGUACGUUCCACUUGCAUUUUUGGAGGUGCAGGCAAAGGUCCUCAGGCUCGUGACUUGAUGAUGGGCAAAGAGAUCGUUAUCGCUACUCCUGGUCGUUUGUUAGAUUUUCUUCAAAAUAACGCCACAAAUUUGAGAAGAACUACCUAUUUAGUAUUAGACGAAGCUGACCGUAUGUUAGAUAUGGGUUUUGAACCUCAGAUAAGAAAAAUUAUCGGACAGAUUCGACCGGAUCGUCAGGUUCUGAUGUGGUCAGCUACUUGGCCGAAAGAAGUGCGUACUUUGGCCGAAGAUUUUCUGCACAAGAAGUAUAUCCAAUUAAAUGUAGGUUCAUUGACGUUAGCAGCCAACCAUAAUAUUAAACAACAUAUCGAAAUCUGUACUGAAGAAGAAAAAGAAAAUAAGCUAAUGGACUUACUGGAACAGAUCGGCAAUCAAGACGAAAAUAAAACUAUAAUUUUUGCAGAAACUAAAAAAAAAGUUGACGCUUUAACCAGAAUGAUCAGACAAGUUGGUGUUCCUGUUGUUGGUAUUCAUGGAGAUAAAUCCCAAACCGAUCGUGAUUACAGUUUAAAUGCUUUCCGUAAUGGUAGAGCAGCUGUAUUAGUAGCUACGGAUGUUGCUGCUCGUGGAUUAGAGGCACUCUAAAAAAUAUUUAUAUAUUAAAAUGUAUUAAAGGCGUUUAUAGUAAAGGAGGUGCCUCUGGUACGUAAUGAAGAGCUUCCGAAUGUGCUUGACCGAUGAUUCCAGUGCGCGGCAGCGGUGCCGGAUGCCUGUUCUAUAUGGACCGGAAUCUUAUUUCGUGAAGAAUUCCACGUACCUUUGUACUAUGGUUAUUCUUUUCAUAUUGUAUCUUCGGUCCAGUUUGAGUAGUACGUACGAGAGAACGCGCAACUUGACAUGAGUAAGCGCUUUAUCCUUGUCGUAAAUUAAAGGAGCCAUUCGAAUGAAUCUCAAGGGGGCGAUGCUGCGGCGUUGAAAUAGCAAGUGGAUUUUGAAUGGCUCGUUUUAUAUUACAAACUUAGAACAGGACACUGGAUCAUCUGUCGUUGGCGGAGAUGUCGAUGACGUUAAAUUCGUUAUUAAUUACGAUUUCCCCAAUACGUCCGAAGAUUACAUUCACAGAAUAGGAAGAACUGGUAGAUCAUCACAAACUGGUACAUCGUACGCAUUUUUCACCCAAAAUAAUAGCCGUCUA